rnacentral:rRNA from 1 species
CAUGCAGGCGGUCGAGCGCGUUUUGUGUGACAGCGGGUGGCUUAACUACCCGAGUAUACGAAAGACGGUUUGACUUGAGGGCUCGAGAGGGACACGGAAUUCCGGGUGGAGUGGUGAAAUGCGUAGAGAUCCGGAGGAACACCGAAGGCGAAGGCAGUGUCCUGGCGAGUGACUGACGCUGAGGUGCGAAAGCCAGGGGAGCGAACGGGAUUAGAUACCCCGGUAGUCCUGGCCGUAAACGAUGACCACCAGGUGUGGGAGGUAUCGACCCCUUCUGUGCCGAAGGAAACCCAUUAAGUGGUCCGCCUGGGGAGUACGGUCGCAAGAUUAAA